UACGGGGGGGGCAAGCGUUGUUCGGAAUUACUGGGCGUAAAGGGCUCGUAGGCGGCCAACUAAGUCAGACGUGAAAUCCCUAGGCUCAACCUAGGAACUGCGUCUGAUACUGGAUGGCUUGAAUCCGGGAGAGGGAUGCAGAAUUCCAGGUGUAGCGGUGAAAUGCGUAGAUAUCUGGAGGAAUACCGGUGGCGAAGGCGGCAUCCUGGGACCGGCAUUGACGCUGAGGAGCGAAAGCUAGGGGAGCAAACGGGG
rnacentral:rRNA from 1 species